rnacentral:rRNA from 1 species
UGGGGAAUAUUGGACAAUGGGCGCAAGCCUGAUCCAGCCAUGCCGCGUGAGUGAUGAAGGCCCUAGGGUUGUAAAGCUCUUUCACCGGUGAAGAUAAUGACGGUAACCGGAGAAGAAGCCCCGGCUAACUUCGUGCCAGCAGCCGCGGUAAUACGAAGGGGGCUAGCGUUGUUCGGAUUUACUGGGCGUAAAGCGCACGUAGGCGGACUUUUAAGUCAGGGGUGAAAUCCCGGGGCUCAACCCCGGAACUGCCUUUGAUACUGGAAGUCUUGAGUAUGGUAGAGGUGAGGGGAAUUCCGAGUGUAGAGGUGAAAUUCGUAGAUAUUCGGAGGAACACCAGUGGCGAAGGCGGCUCACUGGACCAUUACUGACGCUGGGGUGCGAAAGCGUGGGGAGCAAACAGG